ensembl:lncRNA
AUGCCAUCGGCUAGGCUUUUUACCACGAGGUUCCUGGUGUCAAACAGGUUGGAGACCACUGAUUUAAAGCAUCAGAGAACGGUGUGGUUAAGGUAUGAGUUAAAUUAUCACCCACGGGGCCAAGUCAGAGAUCAUUUUACCAGUGGAAAGCUAAGGAGUCAGCUGUGGUUCCCCUCCCACGCACUGUCACACAGGGGAGGGGAGCAGAGACACCAGUGCGUGGAAAUCCCAUCUUCCCACAAGGCUGAGCCAUCCACAGAGGCUUUCCCGUGCCCCACAGGGAGCCCAGGGCUCUGCCCCACCAGCCUAGGCUUCAUCUGAGUCCAGUUUUAAUCCCUCUCCACCUCCGCCUUCAGUGAGGCUGAUGAAGCGCCCCUCACAUUCAGCCUUUCGAGAAGCUUCCAUUAAUUCUUCUAGGAAGAUCCAAUCUUCCCAUGUCUCUCAUCAAUCCCUGGUCCUACAAACUGACAGGGAACUCCUCCAGGACAUACGUCCCUGCAGAGGAGGAGGAAACCCUCCUCCAUUAUACAGGAUGAAACUUGGUUCCUCUCAGUUUAUCUUGACCACCUGGGGAUGUUCAGCCCCAUCAUUAUUUGCCUCAAGGAAGGCACUGAAGGGCAAGGGGAGACUUUUGGGGGCCUCCCGAAAGGUUCAAUAAAAGCGUUUAUGGUAGCCCAGGAACCUGGGUCAUCGCAGGCCUGUGCUGUUGACAGGACAGGCACGCACUCGCCACAGGCAUGCCUGUGAGUCCCCUGGCACCAGAGGGACUUCAUUUCAUUCAUCUAUCACUCGUGGGCAUGUACCUCACUGAGAACUCCUUAGUCCACAUAAAUCCUGGCGAGGACGGGACCUUUGGAAUGUAUUUCCCAGUCAUGGACAUAACUUAGAAGCAUUGCUGAAUGUGGACCUGCUUGGCUCCACACAGUAAUAAAUCUAGGUCAUAAAGUCCAAAACAUAUGCUAAUAUGGGACUCAAAUAUAAAUAGCUAGCAAGCAUUAUCCGGAAAGAUAGUUUCAGUUUAAUUUUAUAACAUUGCAAGCAAGGAAGGCAUCACUUUACCCUAAAUUCUUUUAGAGAAAUUGAGACCUCCGUCCAAGAGGGACAUGAAUUGGGUCCCAAUAAAUUCUGACUCAAAGUGUAAUUGCAUUUGGUGGCUUGAUCUCACCUUCAAAUCUAACCUCACAUGAUUGAAAGGACUGAGACUGUGAAACUUGAGUAAGAAUUCAGGCUCCAUAUAGGCAGCCCUUCGUCUCUCAGAGAACUUGAGGAUUCCGGUGACUCCUGAGGUGCUGGAGAGAGUGACAGGUCAGAACCAUCUUGCUCCCUCCUUUAAACUUCUCCUUCUCCAUAAAAUAACCAAUGAGUGCUAUGACUGUCUUCUAAGACCACUCUUAAGAAGCAGCAGUAGCUGGGCGCGGUGGCUCAAGCCUGUAAUCCCAGCACUUUGGGAGGCCAAGGCGGGUGGAUCACGAGGUCAAGAGAUCGAGACCAUCCUGGUCAACAUGGUGAAACCCCGUCUCCACUAAAAAUACAAAAAAAAAAUUAGCUGGGCAUGGUGGCGCGUGCCUGUAAUCCCAGCUACUCGGGAGGCUGAGACAGAAGAAUCGCCUGAAUCCAGGAGGCAGAGGCUGCGGUGAGCCGAGGUCGGGCCAUUGCACUCCAGCCUGGGUAACAAGAGCGAAACUCCAUCUCAAAAAAAAAAAAAAAGCCGCAGCAGCAUGACAUGAAUGCAGGUACGGUGAUGCUCAUCAGCUCUCGUAUCAUUCAGUCUGCAUGGAGCUGACACGAUAUACUUCAUGUUUGCGUGAUUUUCUUAUUUGACUUUUCCAUACAUCCAAUGAAUCAUAGAAGCUGCAUAUGACAACUCCCUUCUCAGGACUGACAAAUGUGAUCUAAAAUUAUUUUGGAUUUGCUGAAAUUCACACGACUAGCUGGUGAUCAGGUCGUAAUGGGAAGCCUGGGACCUGCGUUCUUCGCCCCUGUCCUCUCCGUUACCCAGUAGGUAGCAGUGGGUGAGGAGGUCUCAGCAAGGUGGGAAAAAUAACCCUCUUAUUACCAGGACUAUGAGGCUCUCAAGCCCAUGCCCAAGAGAAACGUGUCAUUGGAUCAUUUGGAGAUUUUUUUCCAAGAUGAUUCAAUUAUUAUUUUCAUUAAGAGUGAGGUAGAAAGUGGAACUUGACUCCAGAGGCAGAGAUUAGACAGUGGACCAGAUUGAGGACUACCUAAAACAUGGCCCCUGGGGCAAAAGCAGCUUCUGAACAGACAUGUCCAUCUGUGUGCCAUGUCAGUUUAACAGAGAGGCUAUGCAUGAAUGAGGCAGGCAGUGUGUAGAGAAGGGGGUGCUGAUAAUGUGGGGCUCUGCCUGAGUGCAGCAGGGAGUGUGUAGAGAAGGAGGUGCUGAUAAUGGGGGGCUGUGUGUGAGGCGGGAAGUGUGUAGAGAAGGGGGUGCUGAUAAUGUGGGGCUGUGUGUGAGGCGGGAAGUGUGUAGAGAAGGGGGUGCUGAUAAUGGGGGGCUGUGUGUGAGGCGGGAAGUGUGUAGAGAAGGAGGUGCUGAUAAUGGG